rnacentral:misc_RNA from 1 species
GGACAGGUCAGCAACAUUUUGUAGAUAAAUCUUACAUUGAAAAAUGGUACCAAAAUUAUUUUUGUUUCUCUGUGGAGAAAGGCAAGACAGAAAAAAGAACUGGGAUUGCAAAUUUUCUUGUGUAUGAAAAUUGAUUUGUUAGUUGUUGGCUGAAAACCCUUUUUUCCAGCAUGUUAGUGAUUGUCGAUGAACUUCGAAAUGUUCUUAUUCCCUUAUCUUUUUUUAUUUAUUAUUUGAGUAAAAAUAGAUGAAAAUUUUCACUCUUAAUCUAUCAUUGAAAUGGCUCUGUAUCAAAGAUCUUCUCUUAGGCUCAUAACAUUUAUCCAGUUUAUUGGAAAUCCAAAGAAGGAAAUAGCAAUCCAUGUUUUGUCAAGGCAUGCUCAAGUAGGAAGUAGCAUGAUUUGAUCAUAUCUCAAAGAUAUUUCAGCACUUGCUAACUGUUAUGCAAAUUAAUCAGGGAUGUGGUCACUUUCCCUGG